ACCUGGCUCAGAUUGAACGCUGGCGGCAGGCUUAACACAUGCAAGUCGAGCGGAGUGAUGGUGCUUGCACUAUCACUUAGCGGCGGACGGGUGAGUAAUGCUUAGGAAUCUGCCUAUUAGUGGGGGACAACAUUUCGAAAGGAAUGCUAAUACCGCAUACGUCCUACGGGAGAAAGCAGGGGAUCUUCGGACCUUGCGCUAAUAGAUGAGCCUAAGUCGGAUUAGCUAGUUGGUGGGGUAAAGGCCUACCAAGGCGACGAUCUGUAGCGGGUCUGAGAGGAUGAUCCGCCACACUGGGACUGAGACACGGCCCAGACUCCUACGGGAGGCAGCAGUGGGGAAUAUUGGACAAUGGGCGCAAGCCUGAUCCAGCCAUGCCGCGUGUGUGAAGAAGGCCUUAUGGUUGUAAAGCACUUUAAGCGAGGAGGAGGCUACUGAAGUUAAUACCUUCAGAUAGUGGACGUUACUCGCAGAAUAAGCACCGGCUAACUCUGUGCCAGCAGCCGCGGUAAUACAGAGGGUGCAAGCGUUAAUCGGAUUUACUGGGCGUAAAGCGCGCGUAGGCGGCUAAUUAAGUCAAAUGUGAAAUCCCCGAGCUUAACUUGGGAAUUGCAUUCGAUACUGGUUAGCUAGAGUGUGGGAGAGGAUGGUAGAAUUCCAGGUGUAGCGGUGAAAUGCGUAGAGAUCUGGAGGAAUACCGAUGGCGAAGGCAGCCAUCUGGCCUAACACUGACGCUGAGGUGCGAAAGCAUGGGGAGCAAACAGGAUUAGAUACCCUGGUAGUCCAUGCCGUAAACGAUGUCUACUAGCCGUUGGGGCCUUUGAGGCUUUAGUGGCGCAGCUAACGCGAUAAGUAGACCGCCUGGGGAGUACGGUCGCAAGACUAAAACUCAAAUGAAUUGACGGGGGCCCGCACAAGCGGUGGAGCAUGUGGUUUAAUUCGAUGCAACGCGAAGAACCUUACCUGGCCUUGACAUAGUAAGAACUUUCCAGAGAUGGAUUGGUGCCUUCGGGAACUUACAUACAGGUGCUGCAUGGCUGUCGUCAGCUCGUGUCGUGAGAUGUUGGGUUAAGUCCCGCAACGAGCGCAACCCUUUUCCUUAUUUGCCAGCGAGUAAUGUCGGGAACUUUAAGGAUACUGCCAGUGACAAACUGGAGGAAGGCGGGGACGACGUCAAGUCAUCAUGGCCCUUACGGCCAGGGCUACACACGUGCUACAAUGGUCGGUACAAAGGGUUGCUACCUAGCGAUAGGAUGCUAAUCUCAAAAAGCCGAUCGUAGUCCGGAUUGGAGUCUGCAACUCGACUCCAUGAAGUCGGAAUCGCUAGUAAUCGCGGAUCAGAAUGCCGCGGUGAAUACGUUCCCGGGCCUUGUACACACCGCCCGUCACACCAUGGGAGUUUGUUGCACCAGAAGUAGGUAGUCUAACCGCAAGGAGGACGCUUACCAGCGGUGUGGCCGAUGACUGGGGUGAAGUCGUAACAAG
rnacentral:rRNA from 1 species